GAUGAACGCUGGCGGCGUGCUUAACACAUGCAAGUCGAACGGCAAGACUCUUAGUUGUUGCUGUAAUCGAUUGGCGAAGGCGUGCGUAUCACGUGGGUGUUCUGCUCUGCUCUUCCGGGUAAGCCUGCGUAACUGGGUCUACUCUCGGACAGGAUAAUGCUUUCGAUGGCAUUCUGGAAAGCUUUUCGGCUUGGGCUGAGCUCGUGGCCUAUGAGCUAGUUGGUGGGGUAAUGGCUUACCAAGGCGUCGAUGGGUAGCCGGCGUGAGAGGGUGUAGGGGCACACUGGGAGUGAGCCACGGUCCAGACUCCGAGGGGAGGCAGCAGUGGGGAAGAUUGGAAGAUGGGGGGAAGCCUGAACCAGGGACGCCGGGCGGGUGAAGAAGGGCUUCGGGUUGUAUAACGCUUUUGUUGGGGAAGAAAAGUUGCGGGAUAAUCGAAGCGUGUUGUGACGGUACCUAGAGAAUAAGCACCGGCUAACUACGUG
rnacentral:rRNA from 1 species